rnacentral:rRNA from 1 species
UACGGAGGGGGCUAGCGUUGUUCGGAAUUACUGGGCGUAAAGCGCACGUAGGCGGCUUUGUAAGUUAGAGGUGAAAGCCCGGGGCUCAACUCCGGAAUUGCCUUUAAGACUGCAUCGCUAGAAUUGUGGAGAGGUAAGUGGAAUUCCGAGUGUAGAGGUGAAAUUCGUAGAUAUCGAGAGGAACACCGGUGGCGAAGGCGGCCAACUGGACGAUGACUGACGCUGAGACACGAAAGCGUGGGGAGCAAACAGG